UGAGGAUUCUAUCAAUUAACUACAACAAGAACGUAGUUGAACAAAUAGAGAUUAAACCGGACAAACUAUAUUAACCCUAAAUAUUUAGCUACUCAUAAUUGUAUUCAUACUAACAACAACAAAAGUCAUCAUAAAUUGUAAAAUACAAAAGGAAGGAAAGAAGAACUCAAUGUUGAAUUAUCCUCCUUGCCUCUUGCCUCUCCUUGCCUUCAACUAAGCUGUAAAGACCUUGAUAAUGUCCCUUUGGGCGAGCUGGACCUCUUAUAGGUUAAGUGGAAUUACUCCCGAACUUCCAAGUUUACCCCUGAAAUUAUAAUCUCCGAACUGGACUAGCGCGGCAGCGCUAAUGGCCGCGCAUAUAGCAUAGUAUUCUGUCUCGAGGUUCUGGACUAUCGCGGUCGCGCUAGUGGGCGCGUUAAUGGCCGCGCUAAGCUGGUCAUCAUUUUAGCUCAUCUUUUCUCUCUUCUUUAACACACACUCAGCUCCGAGGGGCUUCCCUUGCUUUAAUUUAGCUCCAAACACUGUCCCAAGUCCUCAUAAACGCAACUUGCUCCUGCAAAACAUGAAAAUCACAAUUAGAGUCAAUUUAUCGUCAUUUAACUAUCCUCGAACAGUGAAACAUAGUCAAAUUAGGGCAUAAACAUUUGCCAAAUUACAUGAACCUAGCCUACUAUCAAUGGUUCUUGAAAUACCAGGUGAACGUUGCAGAUGUUGUUGCUACAUUAUGACGCCAUUAUCUUCAGCCAACAGAUUGGCAUUAUUUUGCCAUGGCUGUAAACUGUAAUGCAUUGCUACUUAUAGCGAUACGAAUGCAUAAUGAGAGUAGGUGAGUAUGUCAUCUACUAACAAUUAAUAUUAUUGACAAAAGAUAUACCUUAUUUAUCAUCAACAAGAGUUAUCACAUAUCAGUAUUAAUCAUUUAUAAGAGUUAAGAGUUAUCACAUAUGAGAUCAGUCAGAUAAGUAGCGCUUAUUCUUACCUCGGCUGGAUGUCAUAUGGCCCAGGUUUUAGGAAUAGAAUUUAGAGCAUAUUCAUAUUGUGGUUUGGGCAUCAACUGUUGUUUUCUGGUGAUUAUAAAUACACUAAUAGUCCUUUUGUAAAAAGAAAACUGUCCCCUGCCUUUAGUCUUUUGAGUGCUUACAGUGUUUGAAAGACUCAUUCUGUAAUUCAAUGAACCGGUGUUUAGUAUCAAAAGGUUCCCCAUGCCUUAUAAAAGUGGUUUGGGCAUGUUAACGGCCAACUCUCUUGUAAAAGUGCACUACUUUGUCCAGUGAUGGAUAUCUCCAAUCAACACACAGCAAUCAAUCAAACUCUAUUCAAUUCAAUCAAUUACUUAUUUUCACUCUUUACAGUAGUUUUUUAUGGCUUUUCUAGUUCAAUUUUUUUAGCCAUUGUUAAUCUAGAUCUAAUUAUGUACAGAAAGCUCAACAAGUGACUUGUACUAUCAGGAGGACACCUUUCUGCUCCUCCUUAGAGGAAAAGCAAAGUUCCCUUACACACUGAUAAAUCGUCUAAUCCCAAUCUUAUGAAUCUUUUGGCAGUGAAUUGAGAUACUUCUUAGUUUGGUCUGAUAACAGUUUUCACUUGCGAUGAUAGCAAAACAGAAUCAAUGCCAGUUUCUCUCAUACCUAACCCAAAAAGAUCACUCAAAAAAACAGAUAUAAACUCUCAAAAAAACAAGAUAGUAAUUUUUGAAUUAAUUGAUUAAGCACUGAAAUACAAUGAGGAUAUCAAAAAAUACAGUAAUAUAUCAGGAGGUAAAAUAAGACCAAGUAAUCUUCUUAAGCUAACAACUUGAUUACUAGACUAAUUAAGCAUUGAAUUCUUGAAGCUAUGAGAUAUCUUUACAACAAGAUAGAUUUACAUAUGGACUCAGUAAAUAGCAAAGAAUUUAGAAAGCACUGAAGGUAUGCAUCAAGUAUGAUACUAGUACAAUAUUCAGGAGAGAAAGCCUACAUAUCAGGGUGUUGCAGCAAAGAGAUCGAAGAUAUUGACGGCAAGAUACCAUAUCCAUGAAAAUUGGGUAAUUAGAGGAAUCUCGCUUAUACAGUCCACGAACAUAUCUCUAUUCACUACCUGUGAUUUUGUAUUCUAGUAUCCGCGCUUCACCAUAUAAUCACUCUCCAACUGGAAUAACUACUUGAUGCUCCCAGAUUCAGCAUUCUUAUGCACAAGAAUAACCUUGGAGGUAGAUGGUUAGUCCGUACGGAGAAUGGCGCAAUAGUAAUUUAUCUUAUCCAGCUUAAAUUAGAGCUUAAUAUGAUAAUGUUUGGCUUGAAGACAGAACGAUGAAAAUCUAUCUAGGGUUAGAGAGGAUCGUUGAGAUAGAAAGGAAGCGUCUAGCUUAUGUUAGAAUAGACUAAAAACGAGAUAUUUGUCUCAAUGUACCUAUAUUGACCGACCAAUUGAAUUGGGCCAGCCCAGUUUAUAUAAAACUCUCUAAACUAGCUAAGCAGUCGAUAAAUACAAGAGUGAGCUUCUGGGUCCAAUAUAAAAGAAGAAGAAAAGAAAAAGAAAGGAGCCCAAUCCGCUAAGUAACAACAUCUUCAUAUGUCUUAACACCCCCGGAAAGUUGGAGGGUGAGACAACCCCCAACUUGCGAAGAUUGAGAUGAUGGACAGCUCCAACCAAAGGCUUGGUGAACAUGUCAGCAAGUUGAGUGGCACUAGAGGUGUGGAGCAGCUGAAGUAGCCCCUCAUUCAGCUUGGUGCGAACAAAAUGGCAGUCCAACUCAAUAUGCUUAGUGCGCUCAUGAAAAACAGGGUUCUUAGCAAUGUGAAUAGUGACUUGAUUGUCACAAAACAAACGAAAAAGAGAAGAAAAGUAAUGCCAAAAUCGUAAAGGAGCCUGCAAACUCAAGUAAUCUCAGCACUAGCCUUACUUAUGGACCUAUAUUUAGCCUCAGGAGAGGACAAGGAUACCAUAGAUUGUAUCUUUGAUUUCCAACCCACAAGACUGCCCCCCAACAAUGUGCAAAACCCACCAACAGAUUUCCUACUAUCUGGGCAAGCACCCCAAUCACUAUCACAAUAAACACUGAGAGAGAGGUCAGAAGAGGUAUUAUAGAAAAUACCAAAGUUAGGAGUGACCUUGAGAUACCUGAGUAACCUCAGGGCAGCCUGCAUGUGAGGAAUGCAAGGGUUCUGCAUAAACUAGCUCAGAUGCUGCACUGCAAAACAAAUUUCAGGCUUGGUAUGGGUUAAGAAAUUGAGUUUGCCCACCAAACACCUGUAAGUCUCAGGAUUAUGCAAAGGAUCACCACAAUCUGCCUUCAAUUUGUCAUGUAUUUCAAGAGGAGACACCAAAGAAGAACAAUCAGAGGAGUGGAACUCUAAUAGCAGGUUAUGGACAAACUUUUUCUGAUGAAAUAAGACACCACCCUCAGAAUACAAGACUUCAAUACCCAAGAAAUAGUUAAGCUGGCCGAGGUCCUUAAUCUUGAAUUGAUCAUGGAGGAAAGUCUUUACAGCAGCAAUUUCACACAAAUCAGUCCCGCGAUGAUAAUAUCAUCAACAUAGACUACUAAGAUCACCAAAGUAUCCCCAAAACCUCUAGUAAAAAGGGAGUAAUCAUUUAUAGAAUGCACAUACCCUCUAGAGGACAGAGAUUGAGACAACUUGGCAUACCACUACCUUCAAGCUUGCCUCAGACCAUAUAAAUAUUUCUAUAGUUUGCAAACCUGAGAAGUAGAGGAAGAAUGAGAUGGAACUGCUUGUGUAGUAGAAGAAAUAGAGAAACCAGGUGGAAUUUUUGUAAAAACUUCCUCAUCUAAAUCCCCAUGUAAGAAAGUAUUAUUAACAUCUAGCUAAAAUAAAUGCCAUUUUCUUUUAACAGCUAUAAUAAUCAAUGUUUUAAUAGUAGACAUCUGAACAAAAGGUAAAAAAAUCAUGAAAAUCUAUGCCCUCAACUUGUGUAUCACCCCUCAUCACAAGUCUAGCCUUAUAUGUUUCUAUGCUCCCAUCAGCUUAGUACUUAUUUUUAUAUACCCAUUUGCAACCAAUUGGCUUCUUGCCUUUGGGUAACUCAACUAUAUCCCAUGUUCCAUUAGCAUCCAAUGCCUCAAACUAUUUUCUUAUAUCAUCCUGUCACUUAGGGACAACUGCUGCCUAAGAAUAAGUAUUGGGCUCAAAGACAUGAUGUUCACUAGAAGUAGAUAUAACAGAUGAAUUUGCACACCUGAGCAAUGGGAUGGUAGUGUGCAGACAUAAUUUUGCAAGCUAGAAGGAGGAUUAUGAGGUCUAGAGGAUCUCCUUAAAGGAGGAAAUUCAGAAUCAUUGGUAGAGGAAGAAGACAAAUCAGGAGAAGAUGAGGAACCAGGAGAAGAAGGGGAGAUGUCCCAAAGUACUGUAGGAGCAGGAGAGGUCGAAGGAAAAGAAGUGUGAACUUCAGGAUGUACAAGGGAGAAGUAGUCAUGAAGUGAAAGGGAAGUCUGCCUAGCAGAAUGGGCAAAACGUGUAGAAAAUAAAAAAUUGGUCAUAGUAGGAGAAGCAGAACCAGAUUAAAUAAAAGGGAAUACAUGUUCAUGAAAGACAACAUCUCUGGAGACAAAGCAGAUUUUAUUCUGUAAGUCAUACGACUUAUAGGAUUUCUUUCCAAAAAGAUAUCCUAAGAACACACAAGGAACAAUUCUAGGUUGUGACUUAUCUCUAUGAGGCUUUGGAACGGUAGAGUAGCAUAAACAGCCAAAAGCUCUAAGAUUGGAAUAAGUUGGGAGUUUGUUGUAUAAAAUUUCAUAAGGACAUUUAUCUUUUAAGACACUAGAAGGGAACCUAUUUAUCAAGUUUGUUGCAGUUAACAUACAAUAUCCCCAUAAUCUAAGAGGGAGGCCAGACUGAAAAAGAAGAGCUCUUGUAGUCUCCAGAAGAUGUUUGUGUUUCUUUUCCACAACUCCAUUAUGUUGUGGAGUAUGAGGACAUGUUAUCUGAUGCAAAAUAUCUUUUUAAAAAAAGAAUGUGGACCCUACAGUGUUGGAUCCUAAUUCUAGGGCAUUGUCACUUCUUACAGUCUGAAUCUUUAAUUGGAAUUGGGUUUCAGUCAUGGCAAUGAAGGCUUUUAGAAGGUCAAAGACAUUACUUUUGGCUCCCAUUAGAUGAGUCUAAGUGUCUCUUGAAAAGUCAUCAAUAAUGGUUAUAAAAUAUCUGGAGCCAGUAUAGUUAGGUGAAUGAUAUGGUCCCCAGCUGUCAAUAUGUAUUAACUGAAAAGGUUUUGUGGUUUGUAUACUACUAUUAGAAAAUAGUAGUCUAGUUUGCCUAUCUAGUGGACAUAUUGGACAAGAAAAAGAUUGCUUAGAAGAUAACUGUAACCCAAGUAUAAAAAUAUGUUUCAUUUUAGAGAAAGGGAUAUGCGCCAAAGCUAUAAUGCCAAACCACAUCCAUUUUAUUGAUGUCAUUCAGAUUUACAUUAGUAGUUACAUGUGUCUCAUCAGAAGCAACAACAUUUACAUUUAUAAUAGUCUUUACAUCUUCAUGUAUUUCAGGCAAAACACAGACAAGAGAAACAAUAGGAGAAUUAACAAUACAAGAAGAGUACAAUGUGGUGCUAGCAACAGGAGGGAGGAGAAGCUUGUAAAGAUUAUGGACCAGUUUAUCAAGAGCCAGAGGCAUCUUCAGAGAAGGGGCAUGUAUAGAACAAAGAGUUCUGGUAAGCAUAACAAUUCCAUUGUAUUGGUCUAACAAUUUAUGAACAGAUAUGAGAUUAUAUUGGAAAUAAGGAACAUAAAGAAUAUGAUAAAUUGUGAAAUUUAGGAAUAAAGACAAAUAUCCUACUAAGUGAACUUUAACCUUGUAGCCAUUUGGGAGUGAAACAAGACAAGGCACAGGUAGAGUUUGUAAGUUAAAGAGUAGGUCUUUAUGUGAGGUCAUAUGAUCAAAUGCUCCAAAAUCUAUAACCCAAAUAAUACUAUCUACUUGUGAAAGCAUGCAUGACUUGAGCAAAAUACUUUUUGAUAACAGCUUACCAGCAAAGUUAGCAGAAGCCAUGAGAGUGGGCGUAGAGGAGGAAUCUACAGAAACAUGGGACUGGCGUAGUAACAUCAUCAGUUGGGGUAAUUGAUCUUGUGUCAGACCAGGAACCAUUGAAACAUUAUUAGACUCAGAGGGCUUGACAGACUCAGAAUCCAUAUUAGAAACCACAUUAGCAGGAGGACCAGGAGAAUUCACUUCAACAUGAGCUGCAGUCUUUUUACUGCCAGACCCCUUUGUGAACUUGAAAUUAGGAGGAUACCCAUGAAGCUUAUAACACUUAUCAAUGGUGUGACUUGGUUUCUUACAGUACUUGCAAGCAGGGAAUUUCUGAACAUCAAAGUUGACUCUGGAAGGAAACCCCUGUUUAGACACCCCAGCAUUGAAGGAAGUAGAUGUAAAGGAGAAACUGAGGAGAGGUAGAAACAUGCCUCUGCUUCUCAUCUGACAACAAGAUAUUGUAGACAAUGCUUUCAGAAGGGAAUGGUUUAAUCAUGAAAAUGUUACUUCUAGUCCGCACAUAUGUAUCAUUGAGGCCCAUAAAAAAUUGAUACACUUUUUGGACAUCAUCAUCCUUCUGAUAGUCAGAUUUAAAACCACAGUUGCUGCAAGAUCUGACUCUACUAAUUAACAAGGCUUCAAUCGCAUCCCACAAUUGCUUGAUCUUAUUAAAAUAGGAGGCAAUACCAAGUGAGCCUUGUGAAAUGUGAGCUAGUUCUUUCUUAAGCUCAAACACUCUUGUAGCAUCUGCCUGACCAUAUCUUUUCUCCAAUUCACUUCAAAUAUCUUUGGCAAGUUCAGAGUACUCAACACUACGAGCAAUAUCUUUGGACAGGGAGUUAGUUAACCAUGAGACGACUAAAUUAUUAUACCUCUGCCACUGUCUCGCCAAGAGAGAACUGUCAGAAGGUUUGACUGAGGAUCCAUUAAUGAAAUCCAAUUUAUUUCUAACAAACAAGGCUACAAGAAUAGUUUGCCUCCACCUCCCAUACGCAGUACCAUCAAAAGGGAGAGAAACUAGUGAGGACCCCAACACGUCAGAAGGAUGCACAUAGAAGGGAUAGACAGGGGUAGGUAUAGUCGUCUUCAUGAAACACAGAACAAGAGGUUGUAACGCGAGCAGUAGGCAACAUAGAUGGGAAAGUAUCUUCACACAUUUUUAUACACAAUUAGCAGAGAAAUACUACACAUGUAAUCUAAAACAAUAGAAAAAAAGGAGAUAAAUAGGGUUACCAAUUCUUUCACAACCGGAAGGAACAAUGACCUUGUAUAUAAGAGUAAAAGAGACGAAGACACAAACAUACCCUAGCUGAAGCGUACAGAUGCAGAAAUCCCUAAACCCUAGGUUGAUGAAGACUUCACAAGAAUACUGAAUGAGUUCGGUCAAUCAGCAACAUGAGCAAACACCACCAGAACACACGCUAAUUCCAACGCCAUUACUAGAGAAAUUCAUUGAAAAUCGUCAAAGAAGACAAACGACAACGGACCACUAAAAUUCCGAUAAAAAUACAUGAGGGUAACAUCGGACGAGAGGUAAUCACCCGAUCUACCUAGAUUUGGACUCUGACACCAUGAUAAAGUUUGGAUUGAAGACAAAACCAUGAAAAUCU
rnacentral:lncRNA from 1 species